rnacentral:lncRNA from 1 species
CGCAGCGCGCACCGAGCCGGCCCCGCCGCGCCCGCCACCCUCGCGGCGGUCUCCUCCGCAGGCGCCUGUCGCGGCCGGUAAGUCCCCGCUGGCGGAGCGGCGGCGGUGCCCGCAUCAACUUUCGAUCCCCGCGCUGCUUGUGCCUCGCCAUUCUCUUCUCCGCGGAACAUGGCUGUUUGGAGACGGGGGAGAAGUUAGGGGGUCGCCGGCGCGGGGCGCAGGAGGGCGCGACGGCCUCAGCGGGCGCGGGCGAGCAUUCUAGGUUUCACCUCUACCAACUCCUCCGGGACCAACAUUGACAGCUGAAGGAAGGUUGUGAAUUUGUAUCCCAUCCUAUUCAUCCUUCUCCAGAUUCCAUGAUGAGCUCUCCAGUGCAGCCUGAUGAAAUGCUUUUCCUCAAGCCCAUGUUCAUGAUAAGCUUCCACACCUCGUAUUUGCCAUUUUCAGUAACAAAUGGAAUGCAGAUGCAUUUAUUUCAUUGGGUUUUCUCUUCAGACAGCAUAACAGAUGAGUAACUUUGGUGAUUUCCAGAGUUAUCUGUGGAGAUGAUAAAAAUAUUUAGAAUUCUCAAUUUCUACCAUAUUUAUCAAAAAAGGAAAUAGAUGGGGGAUGGGGUGAAGUGGUAAGGUCUGAACCUUUGGAUUUUUAAAUUGCUCUAGA